rnacentral:tRNA from 1 species
AACUAAGUUUAGGUGCGGUUACUACCCUCGUAAUGAGAAGGUCGUCGGUUCGAUUCCGACAGGCGGCUCCA